CUGUCUUUGGCAGCUCAUUUAAAAAUUCUCAGUCAGGGCCCAAUCUAUUAUUACUCCCUCUUUAUUAUGUUUGCGAAAGAAAACCCUUUCCCGGGAUGUCGACUCCACCGUCCGCCGUUGUGUGACCUCAAUCGCCAUGCCUCUUCAGCGUUCCUCACUUCCAUCUCUAUCUGUUCGUUUUCCUCUAAAACCGUAAUUUCAGUCCUUCAAUGCUUCUCCUCUCAAUUGAAGUCUCCUUAUUUUCCCUUCAAUUGGUUUGACUUGAAAGCCUAUAUAAUGCCAUCUUCUCCAAUUUCAUUCCCCUUACAAUUACUUUUCUCUCUAAAAUUGCUUCUUACUAAUAUGGAUUCUACUGUUGUUUCAUUCGCAAAUUUGAAAGCCGGUCGCCUACACCAACAGAUCGUUGGGAGGAUGCUUCGUCACUGGCCUGCCCGCAACGUUAAAAAAGCAGGCCAACUAAUGGGAGUGGACUUCUUACUCAUCGAUGAAAAGACCUUUGUCAUCUAAGGGUCUAUCAAUGUGACCCAUCUUUCAAAAUUUGAGAACUCGAUGCGUGAUGGGGCAAUAUAUAUUUUGUCAGACUUUGAAGUCAUAAGAAGCAACUCCCGUUUCAAGCUUACCGAUUCCCCCUUCUCAAUACGUUUCACAUCGACCACUGUUUUUGAUCAGCUCGACGAGUCUUUCGGUAAUUUUCCAAAAGAGUUUUUCAGGUUCCGUACACAUGAGGAGUUGGUUUCUCUUGCCAACACCAAUACAGAUCUUCCAGAUGUCAUGGGCCAAGUAUGUUCAACCAAGGCAUAUAGAAAUGGAAUGACACAAACCUUGGAGAGGAUGUUAGUACUCCUAUCUCUUGAAAGGUUUGACCCUCACCGACUUACAACUCUUUUCUGCUGCAGUGCUCCAUAUGGUUUUUACAUUAACCGUCUUUAUUGCUUGAACACAUGUUCUCUGUUUUGAAAGCGGGGAGAAAGUGCGACUAAGUGCUUUUGAUCAUGCAACUUCACUGGAGAAGGUUUUUAGCCAAAAAGAUGUUGGGCCUUACAUAUUGUUGGCUACUAAUAUAAACCCAAAGUUAUUUGGAGGUGAACUUUACCUAAAUGCCACGUCUAGGACCAAAUUUUUACAGACGGAGACGUCACAACAACUGCACAGUUUUCUGAGAGGCUAAAGGGCAAACAAAAACAAGACACAAACUCUAUUGCACCAUUCCAUGGAGUAUCCAAGAUUGAACAUGUAUCCAUUGAUGCUCUUAACCAGUUUGUUGCUACUGGUAAUCCGCAGGCUGAAGGUGUACUGAACUCAGACUGUAGUGCUCCAAUUCCCAAAAUAGUCUCUGACAUUGUUGGGAAGAAAUUCACAUUCCAACUUAAGCUAACUAACUUCAAUUUCACUCCUCACCAUCAGUCAUUUAUGGUGUCACGUAUUUAUCAAACUACUGAGCUGCUCCCUGGUCCGACCUUCGUUGAGACACAAGCAGAAGGUGGGAAAAUGGUGGAUUUAGGUGAUAAAGGGCCUAUAACAGUUCCAACUCGGCAACAGCAGACAAGCACGUCAUGUGCAGUAGAUAUAUCAACAGAGGAAAAAACCCUUGGUUCUGGAGAUUUACCAGUUGAAAGCUCAUCUUCAGCAGCAAUGAACAAAAAACAGAAGAAACAGAAAUGGAAUUAGCCUACUUUUUUUUAUUAAAAUUUCCCAAUUGCUUCUUCUAAAGAGCUUGCCUUCAUUUCACUACUUUCUCUCUUCUGCUUCUGAAUAGAAUUUCCUUGCAUUACUAUAUGGUUGUUAUUAUGAGAUUCUUUUCCAACUUUCCGUUGUAAAAUUAAUUUUCAACUCUACUUUUGAAACAACCAGAAGUGCUAAUCUAUU